rnacentral:lncRNA from 1 species
AAAAAGCUUCUUUAUAUAUUACACCCCAAAACACUAUUCACUUCCGGGCAGUUCGAAAUUUGAUAUCUUUCGCCGGAACUCCCUGAACAUCCGUUUAAGCUCAAAUUUGACAGUCAUAUUUGGUUUUACUUAACGAGUCCAAAGAAAUUUUAAUAUUUCAGUUUCGACCCCGUUUGGUCACCGAAAGCUGUACCGAACUAUAAUCUUUAUCAGAUAGUUGUCAGAUUUUAUUUUCCACCUUCCGGGUGUCAGAAUAGUAUGAAACUUUAAAUCUAGCCUCAUAAAAAUAAUUCUGGCUUAUCCUCCAGUUUUCAUAAUUUUCUAACACUGUGCAUUUUCUGCUAAUUUAUCUGUCCCGUUUCCAACAGAAAAUUCUAAAUCUUCUAUUUUCAUUCCGAUUUCAGCACAAGUCACUUCUGACUUAUGUUUUACUUUUCUAAAUCCAAUAAAAUAGUUUCUCAUACUAUUUUUAUUUAUUUUUAUUUUUAUACCAAAAUCUGGUAUGUUACAGUUGCCACCCAUUUGUUUUCGAUAAUGGAGCCUCCAAAUGAACGAUCGGAACCAUUGAACAUGAUCUAUACCACUUGAAGUGUUUAGAAAUCAAAUUUCAAAUCUUUUCGACAUCAUUUGCCUAAUGAUCAAAGGGUUUCAAAAUUUGUAAUUUUAAUGGUUCAUAUGAGGCGUUUUCUUGUUAACGGCGUAAAGAUAUCCAAAUCAAUUGAAUUUUUGUUAGAAAAUUUUUUAAACUAUUUAAAACAAGAUCUAUACUCUUCAUCUUGAUU